CGGUGAAUACGUUCCCGGGCCUUGUACACACCGCCCGUCAAACCAUGGGAGCCUGAGGUACCUGAAGUCCGCAACCGAAAGGAGCGGCCCAAGGUAAAUCCGGUGACUAGGGUU
rnacentral:rRNA from 1 species